AGUGAACGCUGGCGGUAGGCCUAACACAUGCAAGUCGAACGGCAGCACAGUAAUAGCUUGCUCUUACGGGUGGCGAGUGGCGGACGGGUGAGGAAUACAUCGGAAUCUACUUUUUCGUGGGGGCUAACGUAGGGAAACUUACGCUAAUACCGCAUACGACCUACGGGUGAAAGCAUGGGAUCUUCGGACCUUACGCGAUUGAAUGAGCCGAUGUCGGAUUAGCUAGUUGGCGGGGUAAAGGCCCACCAAGGCGACGAUCCGUAGCUGGUCUGAGAGGAUGAUCAGCCACACUGGAACUGAGACACGGUCCAGACUCCUACGGGAGGCAGCAGUGGGGAAUAUUGGACAAUGGGCGCAAGCCUGAUCCAGCCAUACCGCGUGGGUGAAGAAGGCCUUCGGGUUGUAAAGCCCUUUUGUUGGGAAAGAAAAGCAGCAGGUUAAUACCCCGCUGUUCUGACGGUACCCAAAGAAUAAGCACCGGCUAACUUCGUG
rnacentral:rRNA from 1 species